rnacentral:tRNA from 1 species
UCCCUGGUGGCUCAGAUGGUAAAGAAUCUGCCUGCAACACGGGAGACCCAGGUUCGAUUCCUGGGUGGGGAA